rnacentral:rRNA from 1 species
UACGUAGGGUGCAAGCGUUAAUCGGAAUAACUGGGCGUAAAGGGUGCGCAGGCGGAUUUGCAAGUCAGAUGUGAAAGCCCUGGGCUUAACCUGGGAACUGCAUUUGUGACUGCAAGUCUAGAGUAUGGCAGAGGGAGGUGGAAUUCCAUGUGUAGCAGUGAAAUGCGUAGAUAUGCGGAGGAACACCGAUGGCGAAGGCAAUCCCCUGGGCCUGUACUGACGCUCAUGCACGAAAGCGUGGGGAGCAAACAGG